rnacentral:rRNA from 1 species
CGUGGGCAACCUGCCUCACACAGGGGGAUAACAGCUAGAAAUGGCUGCUAAUACCGCAUAAGCGCACAGCAUGGCAUCAUGCAGUGUGAAAAACUCCGGUGGUGUGAGAUGGGCCCGCGUCUGAUUAGCUGGUUGGUAAGGUAACGGCUUACCAAGGCGACGAUCAGUAGCCGACCUGAGAGGGUGACCGGCCACAUUGGGACUGAGACACGGCCCAA